GUCUAAAGUUAUCACCUGGCACGCACGUGAGCACCGACCAACCAAGCUAGAUAUCAAUUUCAUCCUGUGGGCUUAGCUCACAAACAACCCACCAAAUCUCUGAGCAACCAACGCCGUCCAUACACCAAGAAGAGUGACGACGUCCUCCACUGUAUGAGUUUGAAAGGACUUUGGAGGGCUUGGAAUUAGAACUCUCAAGUUUGUGACUUGAGACGAUGACGACCGGGGAAGGUCUUAUUCGGACUGGGUGCUAAUAUGUCUCCCUCACUUUGUGAAAGUAAUAAUAAUAACAACAGCUACACACAAAUGGCCAGUUUUAGGGUCUGUGGAGGAGCCCUCGUAGAGCAUUCACAUACAGUACACACAUGUCGGUGUGUUUAUCUGUGGGUUUGUGCGUCGAGUGUUUACCCAACCAGGACUGAAUGACGAAGUUGGUUGGAUGGCUGCACCAUAAAGUAGGGAAAACCAUCUUCCCUGCAUGUAAAUGUCCUUGCAAGUCAACACGAGCCCGAAUACAAAUGACUGCUCUUCACAUCGAGCUCUUGGCUUUGAUGGCAAAGGCUUUUCAGGAGCGUACAAUUGUAUGCGAGAAAGAAUCAGUCAAAUUUCCUAUCCAAGGCUUCUCACUUUCAUCACAAAAUACAUCCAUUCAUCUCUUGUGAGAGGACUCAAAUUUCACACCACGUCUGACGCGAUUUUCCAUUUUAAAGCGAUACAAAUUGAUUAUCAAUCUAAUGACUUGGCAUGUCGUUGUGGUGAUUACUUGGACGAGGUUGGAGGAUGAACCUUUGGAGUCGUCAUCAGAGACGUUAAACCCGUCUACAUUCCCUCAAUGGCAACAAAUGUAGUGGGUGGAGGCAAUAACUCAGUCGUGUGAGAAGAAUUCUGCCUGAUAAUGGUCCUGACUGAGAAGCAAAUGUGGUUGCUCGAAUGCACCACGUUUAUUGGACAACGCCCGACCCUCUUUAGUGCUUUAGUGGGUGGUCUCAAAGUCUGCUCGGAAUGGGUUAAACAAUUGACAGUUCCCGAAAUUACGAGGAUAUCCCGUCUUUCUCUUCUCUUUCAUCCAGGCUCCACUUUAUUGCCUCAAGAGCCGAUUUCCGACCAUUUUCCAUUUCCAAGGAAGGACCUAGACGAUACGUGCACUAUUGCCAGCAAGUAUUACAUACAAAGUCGUGGAAGUGGAAGCAAAUCGCCCACGAGGCCGAGGGGAGUCAGUUCUCUCUGUAUGUACACUUUGAAGGCAGCUGUCAUCGACGAAAGGCCAAGCAAAUUGACUCCGCUUAGGAACUGGGGGAAAUGUGAGGAAUCCUGCCACUAUUUUGUGACACCCAAGCUAUCGGCCAACGCGGUGACUGGAAAGAUUUGCUCCCGACUGACCUUGACAAAAUAUUCUGAAAACAAUCUUGAACAUCAUAUCACGAGGUUCCGUAUAAGAAUUGGAAUAAUGAUGCAUCUUUAACUAUGCAAAGGGAAGGGGAAAGGGUUGUGUGGCAGAAGCCAGGGUCCAGAAACCUCUCAGUGAAUCUCUCUCUCUCUCUCUCUCUUUCGUUCUUGGCCUGGCAAUAAUAGGAACUGAAUAAAUUUGGCCCCAUUGCGAUUCAGAAAAUACAUUUCCAUAUUGAAACUCUUCGGCCAGCAAUUGGUUGAUGGUUCGAGAACAUAGACCAUCUGUGCUCCAUUCCAAUUCCAAGAGGAAGAUUAUGGCUCAUCGAGAGGGCCUCCAUUUGAUCACUUUGAAGCCCUCACUGGAAACCCACUCGAUUUGGGAGAGAGAAACGCUCAUUUUGUGGCAAUGACACGUUCAUGUAUUCUUCGAGUACUUUGACCGCAAACUGAUGAGAUCACAAACUUCUGGGGCAUUACUGGGGUUUUACUUCUCACACCAAUGGAAUGCCAUUGGGUUGAGGGCUUUUAGAAGACGCUUGAGGAUUAGAAACUGAUCUGAAUUUCUUAUGAACAACACAACGGGAAAUCGAUUGUUUGUUUGAAGGGUGACCAAUUUCUUACUUGGUCAAGCAGGAAUAGUUAUACCCUUCAAUUUCCUGGGGAAUGAAUUCAUCCACCUUUAAUGCAAUAUCAGCCAAAUCUUCGACGCCGUUAUAUCAAUUACGUAUUUCCAUGCUCUUUUCUAUUUCAGAUUAUGAAUUCCUCAAAAAUAUGUGGUUUUAGAAAUUCGAUUUAAGCGAGACAUUAAAAAGUGUUAUCUCGGAAAAGCGGACAAGUACCCUAUUUCCUUCUAGAAUUUCGAAUUCGAUACUAGGAGCAAAAAUGCAUUUGGAGUGCAAUUUAAGAGAAGGGUACCAGUGUAUUAACAGAACCUACCACAGUUGCCAACUUGGUACCAUUUAAAAUAUAUUCAGCUCUACAUCUCAAUUUGAAGCAGACCUUAGGGUUACACAAUCCAGACAGAAAUCCUCACAAGCUACGAGGUGGGUGUGCCCCAAACGCAAAAUCCAUUGUUAACUUUCGGGAAGAGCGCGAAACUAUCCCAACAUACCAUCUAUACCAACUAGCAUUGCUGUCAGAUGUUUCCAAAAAUUGUUUCUUUUCCGGUCUUUGUUUCUUGCCAGUAUUCCCACCCGAGAAAAAAAGAGAGAAGAAGACGGAGCCGAGAGCAAAAAAAGAUGGGCUAAUCUUGAAAAAGAAAUUUGUGGAACAAUGGCGGCCUAGUUUCGCCGGUCGAAGUGUUCCUAAUUUCUGGAACAACGAUUCAACUUGGCCGAAUGGCGCGUCUACCUUCGUCGACAGAGCAUUGAGUCCUUAACAAGAAGAGUUCCUUGCUCAAAGAGACGAAUGAGCAGUUGAGGACGACGGAGAAACGCAUGUCUAUCUUUGACAAAGGCUUGUCUGGAUGGACUCAAGGAUGUGGAAAAAGUACAGCAUUCCAAAUGGGUGGUCCUAAGCCCUCUACCUCUCCGGACACAAUGCCAGUAACCAGCCAACGGAAUAAGAGACGCCCCGAUAGGUCAUGGGAUCCAUAUUCCAAAGUCCCGAUUGAAACCUUUAUAAGGCCAUAACUCGUUGGCGUUGUUUCCGUUAUUUCAGCGUCGAUAAGGCUCUUUCUAAGUUGGUUGGGUGCUCAUGGACUAGAGUGGUCACUUCUCUGGGAACCCGGCGUGGAAGUGCUAUGGAACGAGGUUCCCAGGACCAUUGGUGUCCCCUACCAUUUUCCCUCAUGAACCCAUUCGAUCGCUUUGCAUGUUCAAAAUGCAUAGCCAUUGAAGGAAUGAUCGGUACCCUUUUUGGUCUGGCGGCCUUGAAACGAAACAAGGCCAUUGGUGAGGCUCGACGAGGGAAAACUAUCGGUCUGGAUCAUGAUCGAAGUCCGUCUGUUUCUGUUCAAACAUGCGAGGUGGGUCAAUUCCGAUCCCUCCAAUGAACUCGUCGACGACUGCUACGAUACGCACAACACAACACAACACUGUACUGAAUAGUACAGUGGAACAUGUCUACUACGCCUCGGGAGCCAACUUUCUUGGAUGACUGCCUUGAAGGUUGUGUCCAGAGUUAUGGUCGUUCAAGGUCGUCUGGAACCUAGUCAGGAGGAAGAAUGACUCCAUGAUGUUCAAGGAAAGAGUUGCUAGGUUGUGCGUGUGAUUCUUGAUGGUCUUUCUCAAGGCCCCCUCCAGAGACCUUGUCCUUGAGCUCAAUCAAUUGGUAGGAUACAAGGAGAAUCACACAUGUUACUCGUGGAGAUUGGGCACAGCAUGGAACGAACAAAAUGCACCCAAAACGGACACCGACCAUGUCGUUUUGUGCAGUGUUCGAAAUGAAAUAUGGCCAAGCAGGGACGGUUAGGUUUGAAAUAACAUCGGAACUCCAUUCCAUUAUCCUUUUGUUCCGCUCCAAACCAAACAUCAAAACAGCGGCUUCAAAUGCAAUACAAUUGUAUUUGCCUUCUCAGACCCUUGUAAUCAUGAUUAAAGAAGAGCUCUUCCAAGUGGAUGCGGGUGCUUUUUGUGGAGUUUCGUCAUAAAUAACGUGAUUAUGAACUGACAUUGGGCAAACUUUCUGGUUGGUUCCCGGCCUUUUUUGUCAACUUGCAACAAAUAGGGACAUGUCUAGGAGUUCUUCCUUUACGAGUGUAUUGCCAUGAAACUUUUGGUUGGGUGCAAGCCCUAUCAUGACACCCUCAGAGAAGGGCAGAAGCAAAGUGUUCCCGAAGAAACCAUGGUGUGUUGAGCAUUGUCCUUCAUGGCAAACCAAUCUUCAAAUUGAAAUUAACCAUUAUCACCAUCUCGGUCCCUUCUUACCUCUCACGAAUAAUGAUAGUAGAAACAACCACAACCGCAACAACAGCAACAACGACAAUGAGUCUGCUUGAUUGCAUUUUCAUCCCAGCUCGAGCGGGCAAGUUGGUAUUUCCUUGAACAAAUGCACUAAUUGUCGGUAGGUCGCCCAGCCUUUGCCACUACGAGAGUGUUUCUUUCUCAUUGGCCAUCGUGGUUGUGUUUCAUGACUGAAAAAGUUGCUUGCCUCAAAGUGUGUCAUAGAUCAAGGGAGCUUCUAACUAAAUACACGACGACCCUGCGUUGAAAGGAAACAGGAAAUAUCCGCUGCACCAACCAACCAAGAAGUAAGAUUGAGCUUGUUCGUGGAAGACCAUGGUAGUAGUCCAUACCCCUCUUGAUAGUCUUCGUCGUCUCGGUUAUUUUUACUUCCUCGGCUCCACACGGGGCCGCUAAGACUUGCUUCCAUGGGUAUAUUAAUUACCGUGUCAUAAGUUUUCGCUUUGGACCUCUUGGAUGACGUGGAAAAAGAUGUUUGGAGUGCUGGAGACGGUCGGUCAUCUCCGAAGAUUGGACGCUCUUUCUUUCUCUCAACGAUCCUAGUACAUCAUCGUCAAAGUGAGAGCUCGCUUCAUUCAAUGCAACCAACACGCCCAUCCUUAUGAAACGCCAUGGACAAUUUGACAAGAAAACCACAGACUGGCUAAUAAAUCUUGUCAGGUUUAAUUAAGUACACAAAGGCCGGGGAUCCUACGCUAUGAAAGAGAAGCGCCCAAGGUCUUUGAUUGAUGGUUGGCUUGAGUGGGAAACGAGCAAGUCAUCGAAAUUGUCUGCAUUGUUGACACAUGUCAAAGGCCGCCAAAGUUACGAACCGGCUUCACAAAGAACACGUUGGCGCCAGCCGACAAGGUUCUCUACGUGUAUUGUGUUUUAUUCCCUUUUGAAUUACUCACUUCAUACGGCCUUUUUUCCAAGUGGUUCUGAACCACAGCCAAAAUAGUCCUCGGCUUCAUUUAGCACCGUUGUUGACGCCAGGAAACUUACUCUCAUCAAGGACUUCACGUCAAGACGCUCUGCAGUGGUUAGGCCAUUUCUUGUCAAAGACCAAUAAAAACGUGUUCCAAAAACUGGACCGGUGGCUCAAGCUCUUGGCACAGUCCGGUAAACACUUGUCAUAAAUUAAUAACGUGUCCUUAUAAGUAGGAGCUCUUAGAGUGGCUUGUUCGUUCUUUGGAAUGAGUUGUUCAUUACCCAAUGCUCAAACAGUAUAACACCAGUACGUAAGUAGAUAGUUGAAGAGAUGGAUGAGCCCGAUCCCUUUUCAGUUUUCAGGUGCUGUUUAUCCCUCCAUCGUUCAUGAUUGCCAUUCGGCGCAUGCACCCACGAGGAUUCUUUUUCCUCUGUUGGGACUAGGACUGAGCCACCACCGAUAUCCCCCAGAUAAUCCCAAAUAGAUGGGGAUUCCGACAUGGUCACCAGAUUCAUCCGAUGAAGGUGGUGAAAGACAAGAAGCUAUUCUCCAAUGAAAGUAUCUACGCCACAAGCUCAGAGUUGACAAGUGACAUCGUUUCCACGGAAAGUGUCUCAACAUUGUACCUUUGUCUCGAAAACUAAGGGGGGCCAAUUGAGGGCGCAAAAAUGGUGGACAGUGGACUUACUUCCAUCAUGUUCCAUCCCUGUUCUUAGAUCUACUAUAACAACGCGAUUUGCCAAGCUCAAAGUUCGUGGAACAACUGAAGAGAGCAUGCAGGGUUGCCAAUCUACUUUGAGGACGAGCUCAUUACCUCUUGUCCCGUACCUGAUUUUCUUACUUGAAGUGGCAUUUUUCAUGAGCGUGUAUUACCAAGUUUUCUGGGGUCCAUUGUACGUGUUUGAGGUGAAAAGUCUCUUUGACAAAGUGGUCCAUCAUGAUCCUCAUCCUGGAUAUGACAACAAAUGAGCACUAAUUUCCGCUUGGACCGAAAAAUAAUUGACGUGUGCGCUCAAAAUAGAUCCAACAAUGUUCCCUUCCUAUCCACCAAACUGAACAUUAUGAAUCUGGCGAUGAGCCUCUCCAGAAUAGACCUCGGGAAGUGGCAGUCUUUUUGGACUAUUUGACCUUUGGAUCGCUUUAGAUCCAAUCGAAAUGGAGAGACAAACUAAUGACUCAAAUAUCUUUCCCAGUCGAACGGGUUGUCGGGACAACAAGGCUUUCUAAAUUUGGAUGCCCAACCCCUCGACACACGCACAAACCACAACUUGAAAAAAUUUAACUUCACAUUGGACGUAUUUGUUUGACAUGUAACUUAUCCACUUGACGAACCAACAUAACCAAAAUAGUGAUCCAAGUGAUCCAUCUUUCCUUCCCUUUGAGAGAGCCAAGCAAGUGAGUAAGUGAGCGAGCGAGUGAGUGAGUAAGUGGCACAUCAAAUCUCGAGUUUUCCCUGUUCAAUAUUUCGACUGGUUCAAACCGUCUCAGAGCAUUAUAGGCUUCUUCUUUCUCUUGUCUGUUCUUCGGGUUGAUCCUGAUGGCUCUUCUCUGGCCUUGGCUUCUUGGCCUUCACAUAUAACGGAGAAGCACUUACAAACAGUGGAACGACCACUGACUGCCGAGAAGCAAUGAAGACAAGAAGGCCACAGUUUAAACAAACUCUCUAAUCUUCAGACAAGUGGUUCCAGCCAAACCUUGGGAACAUUUCUUGCUGGAAGCACCCGAUUUGUGUACCGACACUUAUAAACACUUUCCACUACUUUCACGCUGAGAAAAUACGUCAGCACUCUCGGUAACCCGAUGCUUCAGCAUGUUAUCUUGCCAUUUCAAGGGACAGGAGGAGGCACAAUCCUGGGACACCAAUGUCCACGCUGUUCCAAUGAGGUGGACCACGAUGCUGAUUUCGAGAAGAAUUCUGCUGUUCAAAAAGUCGACGAAAACGACAUAUCGCCUUGUUCGCAAGGCCUCGCUCGACUCACAACUACCGAACAAGGCCAGAACGAAGACAAAAACAUGAAAAUCCAUCUCGCUUUGGACUCUAAGACGAGGUAGAGGAGAAGGAAGAGGGCGAGCGCCGGCAAUCCAAUAAAGGCGGGCUUCAACUCCACUGAGAACGGAGAUCGGAGAACGAGACUCAGAGACUUUACUCCCUGACUGACUGACUGACAGUAUCAGGGAGACAAAGUGGGACCCGCCAGAAACUCCAGAGAAGAAGCGGGCUUCUAACUUCCAGAGAGGGCCGAAGAACCACCAAAAGGCAGGAGAGGGAGAGGUGGAAGACGAAGGGAGAAGGAGGAGGGGGAGAGGAGAAGCGUUCUCCCAACCAACCGUUGGCAGGACCUCCAAGAGAGGGAGCAGAGAAGGUUCAAGGAUGUUGGUGUGAACGAAGAUUUUUUUUUUGAGAAGGCCGCAGUGAUCGCGAUGAGCAACCUUUCAUCCAAGUACUCUGCCACACUCAGGUUUGGGUGGCCAACAUGUCAAUAGGAGGCCUUUGUGAGCACAUGUACUCGUACCAUUACCAACGAGCCUGAGCAGAAACUCAAGAGCAUAAUACAUUUCUAUUAGACGAACCGUA